rnacentral:misc_RNA from 1 species
AAAAAUUUGAGAAGGCACCAUAUGGAUCCCAUGUCUUGUAAAAGAAAAUGAUGCUUGAUUCAUAAGGAGAAAUGGUAGGAUCAAUGGCUGAAGUUUCUUGUACUGAUGGAAUAGUAGGUGUCAAGUCAGGAACUGGUUGCAGAAACCCACUAACAAGUAUGUCGGGUCCAAUCUGCUCAUAGCAAACAUCAAUUAGUUCCAGAGCCUGGGUCAUCUCUACCAUUCCAAGUUCCCCAACUGGAGACGGUGCAUUUUUCCCACCUAUAAUUUUGGGAGCGACAAAUGCAUGUACUUUGUGUAUGACCCCAGAAGAAAUAGCAGAUGCA